GCCUCAUUGUCUCAGAGAGUAGAGGGUCAGCCUUUUGAACAGGAGGUCUCUGGUUCGAUUCCAGCAAGAGGCA
rfam:Angiostrongylus costaricensis strain Costa Rica genome assembly, scaffold: ACOC_scaffold0001535